rnacentral:misc_RNA from 1 species
UUGAUUCAUUUGCUUGUUCACUCAGAAGAAAUUCCACCGGGGCGAAGUCAAGAGUUCGGGUCCCCCGGCGGGCGCCUGGCUCCGGGGCCGUCCGCCGAAGCAACGUCUGGGUAUGUUCACAGGGGUUUGGGAGUUGAAAACUCGGUAAUGAUCCCUCCGCUGGUUCACCAACGGAGA